UCACCCAAGAUGAAGGGCGUCGACUGGGUCUUGUCAAGACUAUCGUAGACGUCGUAGAAUUCCUUGCACU
rnacentral:snoRNA from 1 species